GCGGAGGGAUCAUUACACAAAUAUGAAGGCGGGCUGGAACCUCUCGGGGUUACAGCCUUGCUGAAUUAUUCACCCUUGUCUUUUGCGUACUUCUUGUUUCCUUGGUGGGUUCGCCCACCACUAGGACAAACAUAAACCUUUUGUAAUUGCAAUCAGCGUCAGUAACAAAUUAAUAAUUACAACUUUCAACAACGGAUCCCUUGGUUCUGGCA
rnacentral:misc_RNA from 1 species